rnacentral:rRNA from 1 species
AGCGAACGCUGGCGGCAGGCCUAACACAUGCAAGUCGAACGAACCUUUCGGGGUUAGUGGCGGACGGGUGAGUAACACGUGGGAACGUGCCUUUAGGUUCGGAAUAACUCAGGGAAACUUGUGCUAAUACCGAAUGUGCCCUUCGGGGGAAAGAUUAAUCGCCUUUAGAGCGGCCCGCGUCUGAUUAGCUAGUUGGUUGGGGUAAUGGCUCACCAAGGCGACGAUCAGUAGCUGGUCUGAGAGGAUGAUCAGCCACAUUGGGACUGAGACACGGCCCAAACUCCUACGGGAGGCAGCAGUGGGGAAUCUUGCGCAAUGGGCGAAAGCCUGACGCAGCCAUGCCGCGUGAAUGAUGAAGGUCUUAGGAUUGUAAAAUUCUUUCACCGGGGACGAUAAUGACGGUACCCGGAGAAGAAGCCCCGGCUAACUUCGUG